AGAGAUCAUGGCUCAGAAUCAACGCUGGCGGCGUGCCUCAGACAUGCAAGUCGAACGCGAAAGGUUCCUUCGGGAACCGAGUAGAGUGGCGCACGGGUGAGUAACACGUAGGUAAUUUGCCUUUGGGUGGGGAAUAACUCAGGGAAACUUGAGCUAAUACCGCAUAAUGCAGCGGCUCGACAUCGAGACAGUUGUUAAAGCGGGGGAUCGCAAGACCUCGCGCCUGAAGAGAAGCCUGCGGCAGAUUAGCUAGUUGGUAGGGUAAUGGCCUACCAAGGCGACGAUCUGUAACCGGCCUGAGAGGGCGGUCGGUCACACUGACACUGACAUACGGGUCAGACUCCUACGGGAGGCAGCAGUCGGGAAUUUUGGGCAAUGGGCGAAAGCCUGACCCAGCAACGCCGCGUGAAGGAUGAAAUUUUUCGGAAUGUAAACUUCGCAAGAACGGGAAGAAUAAGUAGAAGAUAAUACCUUCUAUGAUGACGGUACCGUUUGUAAGCUCCGGCUAACUCCGUGCCAGCAGCCGCGGUAAUACGGGGGGAGCAAGCGUUGUUCGGAUUUACUGGGCGUAAAGGGCGCGUAGGCGGUCGUGACAAGUCACUUGUGAAAUCUCCGGGCUUAACUCGGAACGGUCAAGUGAUACUGUCGGACUAGAGUACAGAAGGGGCAACUGGAAUUCUCGGUGUAGCGGUGAAAUGCGUAGAUAUCGAGAGGAACACCUGCGGCGAAGGCGGGUUUGCUGGGCUGAUACUGACGCUGAGGCGCGAAAGCCAGGGGAGCGAACGGGAUUAGAUACCCCCGGUGGUCCUGGCCCUAAACGAUGAAUGCU
rnacentral:rRNA from 1 species